rnacentral:tRNA from 1 species
CGGGAUGUAGCGCAGCCCGGUAGCGUACUUGCAUGGGGUGCAAGGGGUCGCAGGUUCAAAUCCUGUCAUCCCGA